rnacentral:lncRNA from 1 species
AAUGAAAGAGGGCAAUUGGUAUGUACUCGAAGAGCCUUUCCAAUUAUCUCAAUAUCAGAGGAGGAAAUCUUUCGUCUCUUUCUUUUUGCCUAGCAUCAAGAAUCUCAAUUCAAUAAGUCGUAACAAAAAUAAGCAAAAGACAAGGAGAAAAUUAAAGAAAACAUACCAAUAAAAAGUUCAAUCAAUAUGUAUUCCAAGAGUUAUCCAAUUGUUUGAGCAUAUGUGUGUUUGAAACUUAUUCUUGCCUCUUUGUUCAAAUUAUAUCAAGACUCUCCAACUCAAUCAAUACCUUCUGCCAAAAAUAAACAAAAUAAGGGAUAAGCAUAAUGCAAAUGUAAACCUAGCCUUUUGCCAAUGUUUCGAGUCUGAAUAAAAAUCCUUGAACUUUGUUCUUGCAAGACAUAUAACAUAAA